GACUUACGGAACUUGGUCCCCCGUAGCUGACCCUGGGCAGCUCAGCUCCUUGUGUAUGAGGCGGAUCAGGAACUGCACCAAAACAAAGGAUGGCCUGUUUUGGUAGAUGCAUGGGAAAAAGCAUGAAGAAUUUCCACCAACCUAUGAACUGACAUAUUCAACUCUGAGAGAACUUCCAGGUAAACAUGGUCGGCUACUCAUGUGUUAUCUCCACCCCCGCAAGCAACAUGAACUGCACCAUCACUGACUUCUAAAGAUGAUAAAUCCUCCCACCGAAGGGCACGUAGUUUUGGAAGAUGGACACAGAAGGGCUGACAGCAAACACAGCCUCCAGUGUUCCCUGCUCCACUGAGCAUCCUCAGAGGGAGACAGCACAGGGACACCUGGAGCAGAGCGAGGCCCAGUGGAGCCCAAGAGACAGGGGAGGGGAAGGCAAGGAAGGAGGAAGGCAGGGGGAAGGGAAGGGGGUCAGCAAGAGAAAAAAGGUGCAUGGGUUGAGUCUUUUAUCACAAACUGUUAGCUACAUUCCCUCUGCCGCACCUCGGAUCCCAGGUCUCUUUUCUCAUCCUCACUGAUAAAGAGACUCCUCCUGACGCCCCCGUGCAGGACAGCGCAGCUUAACCCGUGGGGACACUAAGCCCAGUGCAGGACAGGGAUGCUCACCUAACAGGCGACAGGGGAUCUGGGGAAAGACACCAGCUUCCACCAAGCUUCCAUGCCAUGGCAAGGAUGUCGGCAGCUGGACCCAGGCUCCCCUGGGCACUGAAGGAGUCUCCUCCUGCAGGUUCCGCAGGGUCCCACUGCCUGGAGACCAGCAGCCAGCACACUGUCCCCACAGAGAGACUUCAAACCACUAUGCAGGGCCCCUUCUUCCAUGGGAAGUGAUGAAGGGGCAACCAAGGUCUGCCCUGUGUCUGGGGAACGCCCCAACGUGAAAGCAAGCAAGCUGGCAGGAGGGAGCCUGGAGGAGAAGAACAUUCCCAGAGCUCACAGCACCCCCAGAGAGCCAACAGAAGACUAAGUUGAACCUCCCCGCAGAGAGCCAACAGAAGACUAAGUUGAACCUCAGGACACUCCCAUUUUUUUUUUUUUUUGUGGCUGAAAACCUGUUAUCAAUUUCACAUGAUUCAGUCUAACAUGAAAUAAAACAGGAUGCACUGAAAGGGCAGAGAAACAUCAGUAAACAUUGAAAAUAUGGCAGGAAAAGUAAAAUGGUCGAUACAAAGGUGGAAAAUAAAGUCAAGAAUCUCCCUGAGAAAGUGUAAGAAAGAACAGGGAGACAGGCAGGAAGGGAAAGAAAGAAAGGAAAGUUGAAGGAUUAAUCCAGAAAAGCCUACAUCUGACUAAUACAUUUUCCAGAAAGAAAAAACAAAUCAGAAAAUGGUAGGAAAACUUAUCAAACGAAUAGGGGCCCAAUUCCCCUAAAAUGAAGGGCAGGUGUUUCCAGACUGAAGGUGCCACCAGGUGCCCCAGGACGGUGGAUGAAGAAAGGCUCCCGGGGUAAGGAAGGGAACCUGGAGAUUUCUAAGAGAAAAAAGAGAAGGUCAGAAAGCAAGGGCUGGGGUCAGAAUGUCUGUGAACGUGUCAGUGACGGCAAUGGAGGCUGGAAGACGGGGGUUCUGAAGAGAAGGUGUUUCCACGUCCACAUUGCCUCAGGCGAGAGCAGAAUCCAGCCAUCACGCACUUGUAAGCUUGCAGAACCCACCUCCCCUAACUCAGGAAGCUGCUGGGAGACAGUUUCCACCACAGGAGUGGUAAACGGGUCUAGACUGCUAGGGCUGUGUCGCAGGCAAGAGAGGAGGGGGACUCCCAGCACCGUGGUGACAGGUGCUCUGGGGCCAAGCCGCGCAGUGGGCGGAGUGAGGCUGAUGGCGUGAAAGGGGUGGGGCAGGGCAGGAUGGCGGCCACGGUGCAGGGAAGGAAGAACUUUGUCGGAAAUGUGAAAAAGAGGAAAAGAUGAGAUGUUUACUUACCCGGGAAAAAACAAGAUGUAUCUAUUGAGGGUGCAUAAUUAAAGUUUGUUUCUUGGCUGG